rnacentral:tRNA from 1 species
GGGCUGGGGCUCAGUGGUGGAGCGCUUGCCUAGCAUGUGUGAGGCCCUGGGUUCGAGCCUCAGCAGCACA